rnacentral:misc_RNA from 1 species
UUUGCUUGCCUAUUCUGACCGAGGAGAACAGGCCAUUCGGCAGGGAGAUUCUGAAAUUGCGGAGGCUUGGUUCGAUCAAGCCGCGGAGUAUUGGAAACAAGCUAUAGCGCUUACUCCCGGAAAUUAUAUUGAAGCGCAGAAUUGGUUGAAAAUCACAAGGCGUUUCGAAUAAGAUAAGAGCACUCUCUUUGUAUUUAUUAUUUAGUAUUUUUUUUUAGUAUUUGUUACAUUUUUCUAUUUCUUAUAACAAAUUUGUUAUAAUUAAUUGUUUGUUAUCCCUAUCAGUCAAAUAAAACAGAUCGUUUCUCUGGGAAGAACCAAUCAAAGAAUUUCAUGAAUUUCAUUAUACCACUUCUAAGAUCGUCCCCCUUUUGUCUGGUAUUUCAUAGGAAUAAACGAUACAAUAGGAAUAAAUGAUACACAGAUAUAAACAGUAAAGAAUGUAUAUUUUCUAUAUUUUUUUUUCUUUUCUGUUAUUAAAACAAAUAAAAGAAACCUUGAAAUGCCUAAAAAUAGAAUAGAUCCCGGAAUGUCUCUUAGUAAUGACCUCUCGCCUGAUUUGGAAUAGAGUAAUAGUAAUAUGUUCUAUGUAAAGUAAAACAUAAAUAAAACAGAAAGUAGUCUCCGCCAGAAACUUUUAAUUAAGAUAGGAAUAUACUAGGUUGCACAAAAAAUUGUUUUUGCACUAAUUCAAAGCCCAAAAAGGUCCGUUGAGCGCCUCGUGGGUAUGUCAUAAUAGAUUCGAACACUUGCCCUGGAUCGACUUCCAGAUCAUAAUUGCUCUAGUGAAUAACUAAAGAAACUAGAUAAAUGAGAGAUAGAAAAGAAAGAAACUAAUUCUAAGCAUCUCUCAUAAGUUCACUAAUUACUUUUCUUGACUAUUGGCGGGUCUCUUUAUAUGUGUUGUCCGGAAAGAGGAGGACUCAAUGAUUAUUCGUUCGCCGGAACCAGAAGUAAAAAUUUUGGUAGAUAGGGAUCCCAUCAAAACUUCUUUCGAGGAAUGGGCCAGACCCGGUCAUUUCUCAAGAACAAUAGCUAAAGGACCUGAUACUACCACUUGGAUCUGGAACCUACAUGCUGAUGCUCACGAUUUCGAUAGCCAUACCAGUGAUUUGGAGGAGAUUUCUCGGAAAGUAUUUAGUGCUCAUUUC